GCCGAUAAGAAUAUGGUGAUUGACAGAGUCGAAAGCCUUGGCGAGGUCGAUGAAGACGGCUGCACAGUACUGUCUUUUAUCGAUGGCGGUUAUGAUAUCGUUUAGUACCUUGAGUGUGGCUGAGGUGCACCCGUGACCGGCUCGGAAACCAGAUUGCACAGCGGAGAAGGUACGGUGGGAUUCGAGAUGGUCAGUGACCUGUUUGUUGACUUGGCUUUCGAAGACCUUAGAUAGGCAGGGCAGGAUGGAUAUAGGUCUAUAACAGUUUGGGUCCAGGGUGUCUCCCCCUUUGAAGAGGGGGAGACAUAUGAUGGAACAAAAAGCACUGCCCGUCAUUCUUUUACCAAACUUUGCAUCUGUACUGUUAUUCAAGUAAAUGCGUCUUUGUAACAUUUUCUUGUUGAAAUUGUUCAAAGUAGUCCUUGUGCAUAUUGUAUAGUUUGUUUUGACUUUUCAAUCAUUGGUUUUCGUUUGGCAUACAUUUUAAAGUGACAAUCGAGUGUAGGCAUAAUUUCGAAUUGCCCUUGUGCUUCAUGUGAAUACUUAAUAGCGGUUGUGUGUACAUUAGUAGAUAGGCCUAGUUUCUUCCCUUUUCAAUGGCUCACUGUCCCUGCCUCUUGGUUUCUUCCUUGUCUCCACUGGUCUAUAGAGGAGAUGUGUGCUGACCUGACCAGGGUCACCGAGGCUGGUGACAUCCAGGCGGCCUCCAUCUACGCUGCCGCCAUAGCUCAUCAGCAGGCAGGGCUGAAGAUACAGCCCUCUGAGAGGAGCUACGGAGACACAGAGCUUAUGGAGAGAGUUAAGAGCACUAGAGCUCCUGGGUAGAAGAAGAGAAAGUUAUUGAAAAAUUCAGAAUAUAACUUUGUAAGACAGGAAAUGUAUAUUUUACGAGUUGAUGACGAUUGUAUAUUUUUGUGAAAGCUUGGCUGUAGUGGUCGAGGGUUCUUCAUCUUAUUAACCUGCUGCUUGAGUAUUGCAGUCUGAACAGCUUAAACAAUGUCUAUACAUUUUUUUAAAGUUUACAUUUAAAUUCAGUCCUCUAUAAAAUGUAUUUAGCUAAAAAAUAGUUUUAACAUGAGAACCUUUCUGUCAACGUUUAUUUGUCCCUCUGUCUCCUUGGUAAUCCUGGAGUAUGGCUUCCAUCCGCGGGUGCAGCGCUGGGUCAUCGGACAGUGUCUGUGUGCCGAGCAGCGCUCUCUGGCAUCAUAUUGGGAGCGCAGGGAUGGAGACACGGCCUUCCUGUACCUCCUCUCCGCCUGCCAGGCCCGUCUCACAUGGCAGCUGCUCCAGCAGGACCAGGAGAGUACCCUCCUCACCCGUGCUACCCCACCUCACGGGCCCCCCAGCAACUGCCCCACAUCCCAGGACUGGAGGGGUUACAGCACCCUACCACUCAGACUGAGCCACAGCAGCAAGGGUUCAAAUGGAACAGGGCCAAAUGGAACAGGGGCAGAGAGGCUGAACAUCAGUGAAAUCAAAGACCUCAUCAACCUGGAGAUGCCACAACUCAAUUAUGCACUUAGUCCGAAGAAAUCAGGCCCUCAGGUACACACAAGCUCAGUACAAUACCCCUUGGUAAUAAUUGAAUAACUAUUUGACUCGGCUUAAUGGAUUUUACCCUCAACAUAACUGAUACAUCCCUAGAUGCUGUAAGUUGACAUACAGUAGAUAUCCAUCUACACACCUGCAAAGACGCUCUUGCUGUGUGUAGAUGCCUGCCCCUCUUGUACGUACAUAAACAAGCCCAUGCGGCCUGGCUGUGAGAUCUGCAGUACAGACCGUCCAGAGUUCUACUGUUCCUGGAAGCCACAAACCAGACCCUCUGGAGUCCACCGCAUUCAGCAGGAAGAAGAAACUGUCCAACAGUACCAGCGGGGACACGAGAGCUGGGGGGGCGCGGGUGCUCAAAACGAGUCCCUACUGGAAAACUUGGACCAGGACUACUGACUCACACGCUCCACGUAUCAUCACAGAAAGAGACUCGCACGCUCCACGUAUCAUCACAGAAAGAGAGUCACACGCGCCACGUAUCAUCACAGCUACAGAAGCAGAGUGGAGAGAGAACUUUGCCCUGCUGAUGAUGCUAGAUGGGAAGGACCCGGUGCCCAACCCAGAGGCUGUGGACUGUAUGAUCUGUUAUCUGGACUUACAGCCUGGGGAAGGAGUCCUGCUCAGAGAGCCUCUCCACUGUUUCUGAGGGCGAUCCAUGAAGAGAUGGACUGUAAACAGUACCAGGAUGACCUAACAGCCAUGCUGAGAAUGACUCAGCAGCCUGCAGAACCAGAGAUCUGCUCAAGAUUAUUGGUGACAGGAGUUUCCUACAGGACCAUUGGAUUCAGCUUCGGAGUUGAACGGUCCACGGUGGCAGGCAUUGCCCCCUCUGUGGCACAAGCCAUUUGGGCCUGUCUGGUUGGGCCUGUCCCCAAGGAGGAAGACUGGAGGGCCAUCGCUGACUAGUUCCUGGAGAGGUGGAAUUUCCCCAACUGUCUUGGCUCCAUUGCUGGGAAAUGUAGUAAUCCAGGCUCCACCGUACUUGGGUUCGCAAGUCUACAACUACACGGGUACAUAUUCAGUUGUACUCUUGGCUGUUGUAGAUGCCUUCUACUGUUUCCGUGUCGUCGAUGUUGGUGCUUACGGCAAGGGAAGUGAUGGCGGGUCCCUCCGGGACUCUGCCUUCGGCCAGGCACUUCAGGAUGGCACCCUGGAGAUUCUACCACCUGCAUCACUCCCUGGGGCUGAAGCCCUGUGACCUGUUCCCCACGUCUUCGUCGAUGACGAGGCCUUCUUUCCCUUUGAGACCCAACCUCGUGAGGCCCUACAUCUUCACUGCUCUGACAAAAUACUUUCAUCUUGUCUUAGAUCUGUAAAGGUGUCGGGAAGAAAUAAGCAGAUUAAGUCUAAAUGAGAUAUUAAUAAACAAAUGAAACAACUGACUAUAAAAACACAAUAUAAGUAUUCAAGUACAGGAAAGAACGUGACAGGUAUGUAUGUGUGUGGUAAAAAUGUAGAAAAAAAUGAAAACUAUUGAAAGAGUUGUGUAUGUGCGCAUAAAAAUGGCACAACUGCAGACAGAGGCACUACUCAUAAAGCCUAGACGUAGUAGGGGAACCUCAGACAUGGUCAUAAAGAGAAAGAGGGCAGGGAACUGGAGACCUGAGGGACAGAGAGGAGUGGAGGAGAGUGAAUGUGUAGCCACAAUAUAGGUAAACACACAUUUCACCUUUAGUCUUGUAAAAGAACAACAAGAGCAUCUGAAUUCUCCAGUGCGUCAGCUUCAAUUCAGUCAAUUUUCAUGCAAUCUAUGUACAACUAAUAACGAAUGCUAUCCUAAGUAUUGAGAAACUACUAACAAGGACAUAGUAAGCGGAAAUAAAAUUGGAAAAUCUCAAUAGAGGACAGUUGGAAAAUCUCAGUUGCAUUUCCUUGAUUCCUCGCAUCCUCUGUCACGUUCUGACCUUAGUUCCUUUAUUAUGUCUUUGUGUUUGUUUGGUCACGGUGUGAGUUGGGGUGGGUAGUCUAUGUUCUUUUUUCUAUGUUGUAUUUGUGUUUUUGGCCUGGUAUGAGGCAGCUGUCGAUCGUUGUCUCUGAUUGAGAAUCAUACGUAGGCAGCCUGUUUUCCCCAUUUUGGUUGUGGGUGAUUGUUUUCUGUUUUGUGCGUAUUCCUUACAGAACUUUUUCGUUCUCGCUCGUUAUUAUUUUUAUGUAUGCAACAAAAGUUCAACAUUCACCUUCUGCUACCAUUUCUGUCAAGCCGUCUACGCAUACAGUUUGACGCAUACAUAACACAAGGUAUGCACCACACCGAACGCAAUGUCAUUCUGGUGUACCAAAAUGCAAAUACACUGUAGGUGUGUUUGAAGCGUAAGUGGGUCGGAACUGCUAGUUUGGUGCUCUGCAGCCAGGGUUUUCAGAUUUCUAGCCAAAUGACCUCUCAAAACUGUCCACAAGGUCUGAAAUCUAGCCCAAUAUCUUUUGGGGCAGAAAGAGAGGAGUUGCCACAUGUAUCCAAUAAACCCUUUUUCCAUAAUGUUAUUGAGUGAAUAAAGAAGGAAUAUCGACAUAAUUUGUAAUGACGGAGGCUAAGAAGUUAAAUGUGGUUUUCCAUCAAAAUUAUUAUUAUUUUGAGUUUAAGAAUAUGUCCCAAGAGAAAAUAUAAAAACUCGCCAGA